AACGUGAUCAUCACUCGGGACGAGCUUCGGCGCACCCUGCAAACCCUUUGUGAACUUAUACCUAUCUGUUGCCUCGGCGCAGGCCGGCCUCUUCACUGAGGCCCCCUGGAGACAGGGAGCAGCCCGCCGGCGGCCAACUAAACUCUUGUUUCUAUAGUGAAUCUCUGAGUAAAAAACAUAAAUGAAUCAAAACUUUCAACAACGGAUCUCUUGGUUCUGGCAUCGAUGAAGAACGCAGCGAAAUGCGAUAAGUAAUGUGAAUUGCAGAAUUCAGUGAAUCAUCGAAUCUUUGAACGCACAUUGCGCCCUCUGGUAUUCCGGAGGGCAUGCCUGUUCGAGCGUCAUUUCAACCCUCAAGCCUGGCUUGGUGAUGGGGCACUGCCUGUAAAAGGGCAGGCCCUGAAAUCUAGUGGCGAGCUCGCCAGGACCCCGAGCGUAGUAGUUAUAUCUCGCUUUGGAAGGCCCUGGCGGUGCCCUGCCGUUAAACCCCCAACUUCUGAAAAUUUGACCUCGGAUCAGGUAGGAAUACCCGCUGAACUUAAGCAUAUCAAUAAGCGGAGGA
rnacentral:rRNA from 1 species